UACAGAGGUCCCAACCGUUGUUCGGAUUCAUUGGGCGUAAAGGGUGCGUAGGCGGCGGGGCAAGUCAGGUGUGAAAUCUCGGGGCUCAACCCCGAAACUGCACUUGAUACUGCCUUGCUCGAGUACUGGAGAGGAGACUGGAAUUUACGGUGUAGCAGUGAAAUGCGUAGAUAUCGUAAGGAAGACCAGUGGCGAAGGCGAGUCUCUGGACAGUUACUGACGCUGAGGCACGAAGGCCAGGGGAGCAAGCGGG
rnacentral:rRNA from 1 species